UACAAACUGUGCCGCUAAACCUUCACCUCAUAUUUUCAGUAAGGCGGGCACUAUAUUGCUCUGCACAAAGACUAGACACCUCGUUCGAGAGGAACCGUUCAAUGCAUUCUUUAAAGCGAUAAAAGCCGAAAAUAUGGAAACCGUCUCCAUCUUUCUUUACAUCCUCGCUCUUACUGGCAGUGUAUCGGGCGUUCCAUAUGAAGAUGAUCCACGACACUUCGAUCGACAACAUGCUAGAGAUAUGAUUGGAAUUACUGAAAAAAUAUAUGCAAAAAGCAGAAGCAGUUCCUUCGCCACUGUCGCCCCAUGUUUUUCGUUGGCUAGAAUGCAGCCAGUGCGCACUGGGUUUUUUUACAACGUAACGUACAUAUUUCCUCAACGGAUACUUAACACGUUUACUACACCACUCACCACCAUAGGCACCACUCCUCAUACGGUAGCCAACGCCGUAAAUUUCAAGGUUUUACGAGAUGGUCCCCGUAUACGUUUCAAGAUCAUGUAUAUCAACCCGAACAAGAACUGCAUAAUUCUUAUAAAGGAACCAUAUGGUCCGGAACGACAAUGCCUCCUGCUGCAAACAAGUUCAACUGUUGACAGAGACCCUCCAGCGGACUGCCUAAGUAUUUACAGAUGUCAGUGCAGCCCAUAUUCUACUGAUGUUUAUUAUUUUAGUUGCAAAUCUGUCCUCGUGAGCACUAUGAGCAAACCAGGCACGCAUUUGGCUUUCCCUCCUGGCCGGAUACAUUUUCUGGGAAAAAAGCAACGCUGCUAAUAAAACAAUACCUUUUUUUCGCAGAGUUUAUUAUUUGGCAUAGUAUCUGAAUAAAAUAAUAUGCAACAGA